UGUGUCAGAACAGGAAAAAACGAGCCCUUAAGUAUACACUUCUUUCCCUUGUAUAUAUAUAUUCUACCAAGAAAAGGCAGCAGGGCUGCAGUCAGGAGAAGGAACUUCGUGAAGCAGGAGCCGAAAAAUAGAAGCAUCAGAGAAAAAAAUCUUAAACAAAGGGCUUUCUGAAACAGACGUUCCGAUAAGUUGACUUGUGUUCACUUUGAAAGGGCAGCGCAACGACACGAGGAAAGAGAGACAGAAAGGCAAAAAGCGGUAUUUGCCUCUCUGUCUUUCUUUCCUCGUGUCGUUGCGCUGGCCUUUCAAAAUGAGUGCCAUGAACCAGCUAGCCCAAACCAAAUACUUUUCGACUUGUGUUCUGCAAGGGUACAGCUGAAAAACGAAAUGUGGUUGAUCCCUCUAAUGUAGAAAUUGGUAUAACGCAUGAAAGUGAAACGUGCCUUCAGAGAAGUAGGUAAAUGUUUACACAUGAUAUUGGUACGUGGAGAGAAGGGCAUUGCAAAAUGUAUUUAAAAGGUACAUAUAGAAAAUUUUCCGCUGUGUCGCGCGGGCGCUACCAUGUUUGCUCAAGUGACUGUAACUGGCCUUCCCCCAGCCAGUUGCUCCUGCCAACGCAAUCGGUCCAGCGAAGCGGCCGAGGCCGUAGCUGAGGAUAGAAGCCAACAUGACAGCGCCCAUGCAGACGCGACCACCCGCAUCGGUCCAAUAUAUCGUGCUUGAUACUCGCUCACAUCCGUCACAGUAAUGAAUAAAUUGUGAAAUCUGCUACCGCUUCGCGGUAUCUCACGCUAGGGACAAAGCAGGAGGUAUGUUCUGUUGUUAUUAAGGAAACUAUCUGUGUUUAUUUAGUCACACUUGCUAAGCCUAGUCUCCAAGAACUUAGAAUAAAUUUUGAAAACGCUGCAAAACACUGACGAAUACAUCGCUCUCGAAGGUUCAGGAUGCAAAUGUAAAUAAAGCACAGGAAAGACCCCGAAGGGGUGUCUGCGUUUGGUUUGUGGUGACACCACCGAGCCACCAGGGGUUAGACUCCCUCCCACGCCUAGCCGUGCCUGGCAUUGCCGUUUCCCGGGAAAAGGGGACCCUAAGGGUUGAGCCAGUGCUGGGUGAUUGGACCUUUAAGGCCUCCCCGGCAGAGGCAACACACCUCUUUGGCACCGGCUUCAUGCAGACGGCACCCCCGGGCUCACCUACCCAGGGUGAAUUGGCAGUCACCCUGCCUCUCUGUUUGGUGAUCUUCGUUCUUUUCUUUUUCAAUAUUUCCUGUCAUCCCCUCACUCCUAUUUGCUUCUUUUUUCCAGGCGGCAAGGGUUAACCUUGUGUAUCUGCCCUCUCUUAGGCACACAAUAUUGGGUUAUAGUGGCUUUGUACAGCUGGCGCUGGCAUAGCUUUAUACCAUUGCGCUGCCGCGCCCCCCUUGUCGUGAUUCAUAGCGGGCGGCUAGCAUGCAUGCUGCCGAAUUUAUACACACUUGAUGGCCUCUUUUCAUUUCCCAAACUUUCUAAUCGCCUUCCCCCUAAAAGGGGGCGCACCGAAGCAACACUGAUUGUCUUUACAAAGCCAAUUUAAUGCAAUUUUCUCGCGCUUCCAUGUUAUUCGCUGUGAAAACAAGAAAAGAACGCAAGAACAAUUUCUCCGUUUGUCGUAUCAAAAAGCCAGGUUAUAUAACUAGUGGCGACCUUCUUGAAGUCCAAAACAAGACCCAGUAUGAAAACCUGUCAGAACACCUCACCUCUUUUGAAACCGUGCCGUUCUCUGAACAAUUCCCGAGGCGUAGUGUCUGAUCAAGGCCUAAUUGACCUGACAGAGAGUGAACUCCUUGCCGGCUGAAACGAACAUCACGUAACACUUGUAUGGAAAAUGGAGAUCCAGGGUUUCGGUGCUGUCAUGAGGACGGGAUACUUGCACAGUGUUUUGCUCUUCAGCUUUUGCAGGCGCUAGUCGACUCGGGCGAUGUGCAAUUCAUGCCCUCUUAAAUCAACGAAGCAUGCUACGCCGAACAGUGCCCGGUGCUUCAUCGCUGUCAGCCGUGUUCCGACGUGCUGGAUUUGACAGCUGCCUUCCCGGAGAUCAAGCAUAUCGUCACUCAACCGCCAUGGGUAUCGCAUGUAUCGUCAUGGGACCACGAACUUAUUUACCACUUUCGUGACCGCGCCUAUUCCUAUCGAUAGUAUAUGUUUUCGAUGUUUACAACUUCAAUAUUUGCCCUGUUUCGAAAGCUUUUGGACCCCUUGCGCUAUUUAUCGCAUAAAAGGAGAAGUAUUUGAUCACUUUCGCUUUUGUGUUUCUCUUUUUUCAUUGUGUGGUGACAUUUUUCCAUGCGGGCGAGUGAGCAUGCAUAGUUUCAAUCAUGGCGUCGACUUCGCGUGUGACUGCUUCACGAAAGCGGCGAAUUUUUGGGGAUUCUCGUGCAUCUGGGCUGGAGUAUUCACAUGACAACAGCACAGGCUCGGAAGAUGACAUCGACACUUUUGUUUUCAGCACGGAUGACGAGAGUUCGUCAAACCGCCCCGGAACAUCAGUGGUCGUCCACCGGUCAGUUUAGCUUCGUGCUCGGACCUCGUUGUUGCCGGCGCGCGUCGGCGUAAGUUGAUCCGAUGUGUUCUGAAGGUUGGGGUUCUUAUCUGCAGGAAGUCCACUUUCUUCGAGCGGGACCACUUGCCGGCGGUAGCGCAGAGUGUGCAGUUUCUUGCGCGGAGGCAGCCGGAAAUGAACCAUCGAACCGCGUUACGUAGUGCCGCGCGGCGCUUCAAGCCGACGUACAGAGGGAAAGACAGUUCUUGGAGGUGUCACAGUUCAUGUUGAUGCUCCUACACGAAACGCUCCCCAGAGCUAACAGCGCCAGCAAAAAAAAAAAAGGAACUGUAAUUUAUGCUAUGAACAAAAAAAAAGAUGAACAGAAAGCAAAUGUUUUUUGGUGAAGAAGCGUAGCAAACCUGUGUUUUAUUGCAUCGCCAAACUGCUUCGCACAUUGGCAUGAAAAAGACUUACGUGUAAUGUUAUUUUAUGUACACAAAAAUUUUGUAUUUACAGCGCUUAUAUAUGCAGCAUAACUCCGUGUGUCCCUUGCGCUUAAAAUGUAUAUUUCGAUAUCUUUUUAUGCUUAGACUGUUGAGAGCAGUGUUGAUGGUUCUAUGAAAUUUCUUUCUUCAUGCAUUUACAAUGUUUUUCAUUCGAUGAUUUUUUGUACUAUUGGUAAUAAAUUUGUGGUUUCAAACUAACCAUGUUUGAAAGAUAACUGCUAGCUGUACAAUUUGACACUAUAAACAUUAGCAUCAGUAACUUUGGGGGCCAUGAAAUAAAAUAAAGUUUCCUGGACUACCCAA
rnacentral:lncRNA from 1 species